rnacentral:rRNA from 1 species
GACGAACGCUGGCGGCGUGCCUAAUACAUGCAAGUCGAGCGGAGUGUGAAAGGAAGCUUGCUUCCUUUCACACUUAGCGGCGGACGGGUGAGUAACACGUAGGCAACCUGCCCUCAAGCCUGGGAUAACUACCGGAAACGGUAGCUAAUACCGGAUAAUUUCUUUCUUCUCCUGAGGAGAGAAUGAAAGGCGGAGCAAUCUGCUGCUUGGGGAUGGGCCUGCGGCGCAUUAGCUAGUUGGUGGGGUAACGGCCCACCAAGGCGACGAUGCGUAGCCGACCUGAGAGGGUGAACGGCCACACUGGGACUGAGACACGGCCCAGACUCCUACGGGAGGCAGCAGUAGGGAAUCUUCCGCAAUGGGCGCAAGCCUGACGGAGCAACGCCGCGUGAGUGAUGAAGGUUUUCGGAUCGUAAAGCUCUGUUGCCAGGGAAGAACGUCCGGUAGAGUAACUGCUAUCGGAGUGACGGUACCUGAGAAGAAAGCCCCGGCUAACUACGUGCCAGCAGCCGCCGUAAAAC